rnacentral:lncRNA from 1 species
AUGUCCCCAGCCACGUCUCCACCCUGCAGGGCUCUGUGCAGUGUCCCUGUGUCCCCAAGGAUGUCCCCAGCUGUGUUGCUCCCUGAAAAGCCCCACUGUGUCCCCAGGGUGAGCCCUGGUCACCUCUCACAGCGUCCGUGGGGAGAUGGAUCCCACCCCCCUCCUGGGAAUGGGAGAGCCACAGGGGAGUGUGAGAUGCAGGCAGGACUGGGAGCAGUGGGAGCAGUGGGAGCAGUGGGAUCACUGGGAGCAGUGGGAUCACUGGGAGCAGUAAGAUCAGUGGGAUCACUGGGAGCAGUGGGAUCACUGGGAGCAGUGGGAUCACUGGGAGCAGUGGGGUCACUGGGAGCAGUAAGAUCAGUGGGAUCAGUGGGAGCAGUAAGAUCAGUGGGAUCACUGGGAGCAGUGGGAUCACUGGGAGCAGUAAGAUCAGUGGGAUCACUGGGAGCAGUGGGAUCACUGGGAGCAGUAAGAUCAGUGGGAUCACUGGGAGCAGUGGGAUCACUGGGAGCAGUAAGAUCAGUGGGAUCACUGGGAGCAGUGGGAUCACUGGGAGCUCACUGCUGUGGGGAUGUGUCCUGUCCCCAUCAGGGCCCCCAAGUCGGGGUGCCCCAGGUGGGGUGUGGCUGGCGGGGGCUGUGCCCAGCCAGGGCUCGGGGUGGGGGCUGCAGGGUGCCAGGGCAGCACUGGCCUGCGCCCCCCAUGUCCCCGUGCCAGCAGGGGGUGCCGUGGCCCCCGUGGGCAGGGCGCCCCGGGGCAGGGCCCUGCAGGGAACACUGAGCGCUUUCCUUUUUUUAAUCUCGCUAUUUUCUUACGGAAGCCCCUCCCCUGGCAUGACGGUCCUAGAGGCGUUUAUUAACAGAUCAGAGAGUAUAGGUUUAUAAAUUCUUAUAGAGUAGUGGAAAUAUUUUUAUCCCUCCACAAACAUUCUCAAUAAAUAUACGGCUGACCCGGCUUGUCUGCAACCCCGCGUGGCUUCCACCGAAUGGGGGCAUCCCCCGACCCUGGGCAUCCCCCGACCCUGGGCAUCCCCCG